AGUCCGCCUUCCAUUUUUUUUUUUUUUUUAAUUUUUGCUUAAACACUUUUUUUUCCUUUUUUGGAGAGGUACCAGGGAUUGAACUUAGGGACUGAACUCGCCCACUGAGCCGCACCCCCAGUGCUAUUUUGUAUUUUAUUUAGAGACAGGCCUCACUGAGCUGCUUAGCGCCUCGAUGUUGCUGAGGCUGGCUUUGAACUUGCCAUCCUCCUGCCUCAGCCUCCCGAGCCCUGGGAUCACAGCGUGCCCACUGCGCUGGCACAUCAGCCUUUUCGAGGUGGGGUUUCUAUGUGUGUGACACAGACACACAGUCCCGCACCUGUCCCUAGUGUCGCCGCUCUUUGAGGACGCUCACCAUUGUUCCAUCCAUCAACACAAUCUCAGGAACAGUGCCAAGGACACACUCACCCGCACCAGGUGCUGCUCUGGGUGUGGGGACACAGCAGGGAACAGAAGAGACGGAGGAGACCCCGUCGUCCCGGCCCCAGCUCUGCCGAGAGGAGGGCACUGAAGGCGGUGGAGAGGCGGGCCCUGGAGGGGUCACGCGGAGAGAACCAGGCGUCUGCAGGACCCGAGAGGCCGUGAGGGCCUGGACACCUGCGAGUGUCCAGAGCAGCAAGAUGGCCAGGGCCCUGGGGCAGGGCCCAUCUGGAGGUGGGCUCGGAGGCCGUGGGGAGUGGGAGAGUCAGUACGGGGGCUCCCAGGGCCCAUCAGGACCUCGGCAGUGACUGUGAGGGGGACCAGGGGCCCCGAGCAGCAAGGAUCGCGCUGACUACCAGGGUGGAGACGGGGACCUGGGACCGCAGCAGUCCCUGUGGGAGGCAAUGGUGGCGGAGACCAUUGUCGCGGAGGUGGAGAGCCGGGGUGGGGCGGGGAGCGGCCAGACUCUGGCCACUUGUAAAGGCUGCAGCGGGAUCCCCUGGCAGGCUGCGGCGGGACGCGAAGGGUGGCUGGAAGUGGCUUCAGAAUGCAGCUGGGCGGCCGCGGGAGGUAAGGGAAGGAGACAGAGGGGGGCCCUGGGACACCCAGGGCGUGAGGUCCUGUCGCCAGCUAGAGACAGACACCUAAAGGUCAGGACAGAGGUCGGCCCAGGGACGGCACUGACAGUGACAGAACAGGUGAACCCCACCACAGCUUGACGAGUGACGAAGGACGCUGGCCCCGGGCCACCAGCCUGCCUCUCCCGCGCUGGGGAGCUGAGGAGCAGCCGACACCGGCCUGGGGGACAGGGACAGCCUGCUGAGGACAGUCCCUGUGGGGAAGGCAGGAGGGCAGGGCCUGCACCCACCCCAUCUGCUGCCCAGGUGAGAACCUGAGGCUCAGACAAAGGUGUGACGCAAGGUGACACAAGGUGACACUGAGGCUGAGCCGGCCGAGGGGCAGAACCAGGCAGGGCAUCAGACGCCACAGGCUCUGUGCCGGGGCAGCCCGUCACCAGCACAAGUGGGGACCCCCUGCCGCCCGUGCCCCAGGCUGCCAAGGCCCCGGCGCUCGGACAGAGGGCGGAGAAGGCGUGCUGGCCGUGGCGUCCUGGUGACCGGCAGGGGCCAUGUGCCGGCAGGCAGUCAGGCGGCCCCCCUGCCCUCCCCUUUGGAACCUGGUGGCACCUGCUCCAGAGGGCACAGUGGGCCGAGACCUGGGUUCAACUCCCAGCCCACCCGACAGAGCGGCCCUGGACGACCCGGCCCCACCAGGUCCCCCCCGCCUGGCCGGCCCUCUCCGUGCGGAGCUCGCUACGAGCCUGGGUGACCAGACGCAGGUCUCUCUUGCUCAGCGCUGCUGACUUCUGGGGCCAGAUGCCCUCUGUGAGGUCAGGUUACAUCCGUGGCCCCACCCAAAGGUGCCCAGGGCACCUUCUCCCUGUCAAUAACCAAAACCGUCCCCAGACGUGGCCGUGCGUCUCUGGGCGGGCACAGCUGCCCUGGUUUGAGAACCCCUGCCCUAUGCUCACCAGGACAUCCAUGUGGCUCCGGAGGGCAAAGAGCUUGUCCACUGUGGACUCUGAGGCGCUGCCCAGCCGCCCCACCCUGGUUCCCGAGGGCCAGUGGACAUGGGCACGACCUGGCGCUCUAAAGGGUCUCUAAAAGGACACGUUCUCCGUUUGUUCUAAACUCCAG
rnacentral:lncRNA from 1 species